rnacentral:rRNA from 1 species
GACGAAAGUCUGACGGAGCAACGCCGCGUGAGUGAAGAAGGUUUUCGGAUCGUAAAGCUCUGUCUUCAGGGACGAAUGUGCUUAAUGUGAAUAAUGUUAAGUAAUGACGGUACCUGAGGAGGAAGCCACGGCUAACUACGUGCCAGCAGCCGCGGUAAUACGUAGGUGGCAAGCGUUGUCCGGAAUUAUUGGGCGUAAAGCGCGCGCAGGCGGGAAUGUAAGUCUGUCUUAAAAGUUCGGGGCUCAACCCCGUGAUGGGAUGGAAACUACAUUUCUUGAGUGCAGGAGAGGAAAGUGGAAUUCCUAGUGUAGCGGUGAAAUGCGUAGAUAUUAGGAGGAACACCAGUGGCGAAGGCGACUUUCUGGACUGUGUCUGACGCUGAGGCGCGAAAGCCAGGGGAGUGAACGGGAUUAGAUACCCCGGUAAUCCUGGCCGUAAACGAUGGGUACUAGGUGUAGGAGGUAUCGACCCCUUCUGUGCCGGAGUUAACGCAAUAAGUACCCCGCCUGGGGGAGUA